UGAGGAAUAUUGGACAAUGGGCGGGAGCCUGAUCCAGCCAUGCCGCGUGCAGGAUGACGGCCCUAUGGGUUGUAAACUGCUUUUAUACGGGAAGAAACGCACCUACGUGUAGGUGUCUGACGGUACCGUAAGAAUAAGGACCGGCUAACUCCGUGCCAGCAGCCGCGGUAAUACGGAGGGUCCGAGCGUUAUCCGGAAUCAUUGGGUUUAAAGGGUCCGUAGGCGGGCCUGUAAGUCAGGGGUGAAAGUUUGUGGCUCAACCAUAAAAUUGCCUUUGAUACUGCAGGUCUUGAGUCAUGGUGGGGUCGCCGGAACAUGUGGUGUAGCGGUGAAAUGCAUAGAUAUCACAUAGAACACCGAUCGCGAAGGCAGGUGACCAACCAUGUACUGACGCUGAUGGACGAAAGCGUGGGUAGCGAACGGGAUUAGAU
rnacentral:rRNA from 1 species